rnacentral:rRNA from 1 species
UACGGAGGGUGCAAGCGUUAUCCGGAUUCACUGGGUUUAAAGGGUGCGUAGGUGGGCAGUUAAGUCAGUGGCGAAAUCUCCGGGCUUAACCCGGAAACUGCCAUUGAUACUAUCUGUCUUGAAUAUCGUGGAGGUAAGCGGAAUAUGUCAUGUAGCGGUGAAAUGCUUAGAUAUGACAUAGAACACCAAUUGCGAAGGCAGCUUACUGCCCGAAUAUUGACACUGAGGCACGAAAGCGUGGGGAUCAAACAGG